rnacentral:rRNA from 1 species
AUUGAACGCUGGCGGCAGGCCUAACACAUGCAAGUCGAGCGGAUGAAGGGAGCUUGCUCCUGGAUUCAGCGGCGGACGGGUGAGUAAUGCCUAGGAAUCUGCCUGGUAGUGGGGGAUAACGUCCGGAAACGGGCGCUAAUACCGCAUACGUCCUGAGGGAGAAAGUGGGGGAUCUUCGGACCUCACGCUAUCAGCUGAGACUAGGUCGGAUUAGCUAGUUGGUGGGGUAAAGGCCUACCAAGGCGACGAUCCGUAACUGGUCUGAGAGGAUGAUCAGUCACACUGGAACUGAGACACGGUCCAGACUCCUACGGGAGGCAGCAGUGGGGAAUAUUGGACAAUGGGCGAAAGCCUGAUCCAGCCAUGCCGCGUGUGUGAAGAAGGUCUUCGGAUUGUAAAGCACUUUAAGUUGGGAGGAAGGGCAGUAAGUUAAUACCUUGCUGUUUUGACGUUACCAACAGAAUAAGCACCGGCUAACUUCGUG